GAUGAACGCUGGCGGCGUGCCUAAUACAUGCAAGUCGAGCGAACGGACGAGAAGCUUGCUUCUCUGAUGUUAGCGGCGGACGGGUGAGUAACACGUGGAUAACCUACCUAUAAGACUGGGAUAACUUCGGGAAACCGGAGCUAAUACCGGAUAAUAUUUUGAACCGCAUGGUUCAAAAGUAAAAGACGGUCUUGCUGUCACUUAUAGAUGGAUCCGCGCUGCAUUAGCUAGUUGGUAAGGUAACGGCUUACCAAGGCAACGAUGCAUAGCCGACCUGAGAGGGUGAUCGGCCACACUGGAACUGAGACACGGUCCAGACUACUACGGGAGGCAGCAGUAGGGAAUCUUCCGCAAUGGGCGAAAGCCUGACGGAGCAACGCCGCGUGAGUGAUGAAGGUCUUCGGAUCGUAAAACUCUGUUUUUAGGGAAGAACAUAUGUGUAAGUAACUGUGCACAUCUUGACGGUACCUAAUCAGAAAGCCACGGCUAACUACGUG
rnacentral:rRNA from 1 species